CAGCAGCCGCGGUAAUGCGUAGGGUGCGAGCGUUAAUCGGAAUUACUGGGCGUAACGCGUGCGCAGGCGGUUGUGUAAGACAGGUGUGAAAUCCCCGGGCUUAACCUGGGAACUGCGCUUGUGACUGCACAGCUAGAGUAUGGCAGAGGGGGGUGGAAUUCCACGUGUCGCAGUGAAAUGCGUAGAGAUGUGGAGGAACACCGAUGGCGAAGGCAGCCCCCUGGGCCAAUACUGACGCUCAUGCACGAAAUCGUGGGGAGCAAACAGGAUUAGAUACCCGAGUAGUCCCUGUCUCUUAUAC
rnacentral:rRNA from 1 species